GAUAGAGAUCUCACCCAUGCCUCAAACGAUCUCAGAUCAACUCCAGAUCUGAGAGAAACAUGUAUCAACCUCUUCUCAAGAUAUUUCAGGUCUUAAACCUGAUGCUUGGGUGGCUCCAAGAGAGGGAGAGAAAAAAAUGGCUGGCGGCUGCAAGAGAGGAGGGGCUAGCGCCUCCUUUGCUUUUCUUUCCUUUUUGGGCCUGG
rnacentral:lncRNA from 1 species